GACGAACGCUGGCGGCGUGCCUAAUACAUGCAAGUAGAACGCUGAAGAGAGGAGCUUGCUCUUCUUGGAUGAGUUGCGAACGGGUGAGUAACGCGUAGGUAACCUGCCUUGUAGCGGGGGAUAACUAUUGGAAACGAUAGCUAAUACCGCAUAACAAUGGAUGACACAUGUCAUUUAUUUGAAAGGGGCAAUUGCUCCACUACAAGAUGGACCUGCGUUGUAUUAGCUAGUAGGUGAGGUAAUGGCUCACCUAGGCGACGAUACAUAGCCGACCUGAGAGGGUGAUCGGCCACCCUGGGACUGAGACACGGCCCAGACUCCUACGGGAGGCAGCAGUAGGGAAUCUUCGGCAAUGGGGGCAACCCUGACCGAGCAACGCCGCGUGAGUGAAGAAGGUUUUCGGAUCGUAAAGCUCUGUUGUAAGUCAAGAACGGGCGUGAGAGUGGAAAGUUCACACUGUGACGGUAGCUUACCAGAAAGGGACGGCUAACUACGUG
rnacentral:rRNA from 1 species